CAAUAGCGUAUAUUAAAGUUGUUGCAGUUAAAAAGCUCGUAGUUGGAUUUCUGGUUCGAUGUGCCUGGACCGUAGCGAAAAGCUAUGAGUGCCGGUGCGUGUCAGCCAUCCUUCCAGGGCGGCGUUCGUGUCCUCACGGGUGCGGGCGUCUAUCUGGAUCAGUUACUUUGAAAAAUUAGAGUGUUCAAAGCAGGCCUCGCCAUGGAUACAGCAGCAUGGAAUAACAAGAUAGGACUUUGGUUUUAUUUUGUUGGUUUCUAAAACUGAAGUAAUGAUUGAUAGGGAUAGUUGGGGGUGCUAGUAUUCAGCGGCCAGAGGUGAAAUUCUUGGAUUCGCUGAAGACUAACUUAUGCGAAAGCAUUCACCAAGGAUGUCUUCUUUAAUCAAGAACGAAAGUUGGGGGAUCGAAGACGAUUAGAUACCAU
rnacentral:rRNA from 1 species